AGAAGGACGGCCCCUGUGCUCUGACACACUCACACACACGCAGACACACACCUCCGCGAUGUGUCACUACCAAUUCCACCUGCCUCUUACCGUCAUUCCCCGCUCGCCGUUCCAUCUACCUACACUUGCUCUUUUCCCUCCUUUUUUUGCUCUCUCUCAGUCUUUCUCUCCACCCCUCCUUGUCCUCAACCCCCCCCCACGCUCUGUGUCACCGCUGCCGGGAAGAAAGAAAAAUGCUGCAGCCGACGAAAGUGAGAAGAGAAGAGAGAAAACAUAGAAAAGAGCCAAAGAGGAGAAGAGCUGGAGUGUGUUUGGAGCGCAGCGAUGCCUCCAUCCACCCGGAGCCGGACUCUUCUUUGAUGGAAUAUCCCGGACGGCCGAGGGCUGAAGGAGGGAGAAGAGGAAGACGAAGGAGAAGAAACAGCUGAGAAGGAGGACUGAAAGAAGAAUAAAGGGCUUGAGACGGCAGGACGGCCAUCGCUCGCCUCAAGAGGCUCCAUCCAGUCCAGUCUCAUUGUCCUCACACACACACCUCGCCACCGUGUGUGUGUGCGCGCGGGUGUGUGCAUGUGUCUGUGCGGGGACGGGGCUGCAGCCGGUCAUUUCUACCCCACAGUGCAGCGGAGCGCCGGGUUCCCCUCUGAGGAUCCCGUGGAUGCGGUGCGUCAGAUAGGCCAUGCCCUUCACCUGUGCCUGCUUCUGUGGCCUGAACGGCUUCUGCCGCAGACGGAAGAAGAAGAAAAAGGAGCAAGUGGAGGAAGAGGAGGGUGAGGAGGUAGAACGAUGGAGGGAUCAGGAGACAGAGGUGUGACAGUGGCGCUGUCAGCUGCACUCUCCUCACCUUCACCGGGGUUUUAUCCUUUAACAGACUGGGAUGUGCGACCCGGGUUACUGCUGCUCAGGGCAGACUGUUUGGGGAAACUAUGACAGGGAUGGUAAAGGGGCUUCAGCAUGCAAAGGCUUUUAUUGAAAAUUCUGAAUUAAUCAGGCAUUUGUGAACCAAAUACUGUGUCUUUUCCAAUAGUAUCUGUGACUAAGGUUUUAGGUUCUACUCAUUUUCUACUUUUUAAACUGCCUAAACUCAACGACAGCAACGCUGUCUCGAGCCAUAUUCCUCAAGAUGAAUCCGAUUGAUGAAAAUAAAAGCCUGUGAACUCUGAGCUCAUCCCCAUUGCCCAUCCCUGCAGCACUCUAAUUUCCCCUUGGCAGCUGACUGAGAACUUUGCUUCUGCUGAUGUGAUUCCAAAAAAACAUUUCUUAUCUAUUUGAUUCAUGUCUCGCCAUAGCUGGUGUACUGUAUGAGGUGUGAAGAGACGUCGGGCCCUAGAAAUCCAUUAUUUCUCUCAGUCACACCUCUCAGCGACGCCUCAUCUCUCCCUUCUCCCCCUUAAUCGCAGCUCCACAGAGGCUGAAUUGGAACCAAAGCUCGGCAGAGCUCUGCACCUCCUCAGCUACCUGCUUAUGUCAGAUCAACUUAGUGAAAACUUCAGCCAAGUGAGAAAGUGUACAGUAAUUUCCAAAGUCACCCAUGGAGGGCCGGAGCCCAUCUCGGUUUUCACGCUGAGCUGGGCCCAAUCUAAAGCCGAGCAGCUGUCCAAUCAGCAGCUUAGCUGGAGUGUGAAGAUAGGAGUCAAGGGUCAGAAUGAGCAACAGGGCUUGUGAGAAGUCCCUCCUCUGAUGCUGUAGCAUCUCUGUCUCAUUAAUAGGCAGACAAGUAAUUGCAAACACACAGAUACUGAUGCAGACCCAUCAAUUAAUGUCCCCCGGUGGGACCGGAGUGUCUGUCCGUAAAUGCCACUGCAGUGCGCUUCCAGCUGUCACCUGUGUGAGUGUACGUCUCUGAAAGCGUGUGUCUGUGCGCUUGUGUUUCUUCUUGGCUGCAACAAUAGACUUUCAAACCUGAAACAAGUGGUUAAGAUAUCUGUUCGGCUGCUAUAGAACUGCCUUUUCAAAAUGCACACGGAGACACAAAGACGCACACACAGGUCUCAUUAACGUGUGUGAUUAUGCAUUGCACAUCCAGUCAGGCAGUGGAGAUGUAAUUAACCUUUUCCAGCAGGAAACAGAUGCCAGGAUGUCACACAAGCACACACAAUGACACACACACACACACACACACACACACACACACACACACACACACACACGUCUGCUGUCAGGGAAACAAAGCCAACAUCACGGUGUCACGGAAACAAAGCCCCAAAAGCGCCGCCUGGCACUCUGUGAUAAUCCCCUCACGCAUAUUUACAUUCAGGGCUUAGAAUACGCCUCGGUGCCGCCGUCUCCACCCGCCGCCGCACUCCGCUCCCACCCCCUGCCUCCGCCCAUCCAUCCUCUCUCCCCUCUCCGUCUACCUUUCGUCCUUCCACCCGAUUCACCCUUUUUCUUCCGCUAUCUCUUCCUCUCCUCCAUCUUUUACAUCUCUCCCAAAACUCUCUUCUUCAUCUGUUCAUCUGUUUAUUAUCAGUGGAUAGUACAUGGCCUUGCAUGGCAGCUCCCAUAGAUUAGCCCCCCUUUCUCUGAAUAUCAGGGAUUUCUUCAGGCAGGCAAAAAGCUGCUUUAUGUCAGAUUAAUGGAUGGCCCUGAUUGUGUCUGUUGGUGUGUGUCUGUGCCUGGGUGGAAUAGAUUGUCUGUUUACUCAUUCUCAAAGCCAUUUCACAGUGUAGAGCACCUAUUAUGAUUCACUGUGUUACGACGCAGCCCUAAUGAGAAAGAGAGGGAAUGAGAAGAGGGGUUGGAGGAGGAUAGGAGAGGAAGAGAGAAAAGGACGGUAAUGAGAGCGAGAGUUGGAUGCGGAAGAGAGGGGCUAAUGCUAGAAAGAGCAGUCAUGCUAAUUGGCUACAGUGGAUAACUUUCUGAGGCGGGGGAUGAGUGUGUGUGUGGUGGGGGGGCAGAGAAAAGAACAGCCUGAUGUGUCGGCAUUACACUCGUUUAACGCUCUCUCCAUUUCACCUCUUUAAUGAGAGGAAUAUUCGCUCCAGUAAUGGUGAAAGACUUGAAAUUGGUAACGAUUUGUUGCUCACACACACUUGGAGGUGAUUUUGGGGGGGGUGGGUGUGUGUUUUCCCUCAAGCACCACAACCCAGUCCUUUAUGGAUCAUGGCAAUUUUCAGGGAUUGUAACUCAAGGACAAACAGCUAAAAAUAGAGGGGUGGUGCACGACUCCUGCGAUAGCGGGGAGGGGAGGAGGGAGGGGUGUGUGUGUGUGUGUGUGUGGGUGGGGUUAGCGAAAACAAGUCCUGUCGCAUUAGAUUUGGGUCAGAAACGAGGGAAGAGCCAAGGAAGCGGAGAGUGUUACAGACGGUGGCUGCUGCCUGUGCCUCUUGCCCGUCUCCUUCAACAUCUCCCAUUUACCCCCCACCCCACCUCUUCUCUCCAGAAAAGAUGGUGAACUGCUGGAAAGACAAAGGAGAAGUAGCAGGGCAGAAAAAAGAGGGAGAAGGGAAUGUAUAAUGUGAGAGAAAGAGAGACUGAACCACAGAGAGGUUAGGUAAUAUUAUAAUAUUAAUAUAUGCCUUUCUAUCCAAGGCUCUUUGCUGUAUAAUGAGUGCAUACAUAAAUUCAUACUAUUAAAGAUCGCAGCAGGGAACGAACUCUAAUGGUAGAGCCUUGCUCUUACUUCUGGUCUGAGUCAGAGGGUCUAAAGGAAUAGUUGGACAUUUUCAGAAACACGCCGAUACCACAACAAUACCACGCUCAUGUCUGUAGGGAAGUGGGAAUCGAUUAGCUUAGCAUAAAGACUGGAAGCAGGUGGAACUCUGGGCAAGAAAUUGAAUAAGCAUAUUUCCCAAAAUGUCAAACUGUUAAUCCAGUGGGUAGUGUGUUGGUUUACCCUCUGUAUCACACAAGGAAUUGACCCCUGUCCAUGAUAGUGCCUCGCUCAAGGAAAAGAAGCCCCUCACCACUCAGGUCCCAUUGAGGAGUUGAACACUCAAGUGCAGAAAAAGGUGCUUUCAGGCACCAAAUGCUACCGCUGCGACUGCCACCCGGCGACCUGGAGCCCGUUUCACAAAAGCGAUUUGCGAGUGCUGCUUACAUGCAAAUCUCAAAUGGUGGCAGUGUCAUGUUUCAGAAAUUGCAGAUUAAUAGCAAAUUGCAGAUACAUUUCCAAGUCCUACAGGGCUCUCGCGCGCUCAACACUGGGUCACAAGUAUGGCGUUUAUUUUGAUUAGUAAAACGUGUCAAAAUGAAAGCACAAAGGAAAUGAGCUCAUGUUGAAAAUCGCAGCUUACAUGUUGCAAAUUUGAUCAAAGUAUAAUGUGCUUUAGACUGCUGAUAUCCACCUACUUUAAUGUCAUCACAAGUUAAUAGAGUGGGUGGUGGUUCAUUCUUGACUGUGGAAACUAAACAAAAAUAAAAAAUAAACCCAAGGUCAUCACCUACUAGCUGAUGAAGACAUCUCAUGGACUUCAUCAGCAGAUGCAGUUUGAUUCCUGGAGCACCUAAAAGUGAUUCUUGAUCAAAACUGAGCAAAUUCCGUUUGCGGAUGAAGACAAUGAGAUACAGCUGAAAGUAAGUGGACCUUGAGAUAGAAAUUGAGAUGUUUUUUAAAAUAUUACAUUUUUUGUGAAAUCAUAAGCAUUGUUUAUUGGCCCAAACUGGAUAAUCGAACCUUGAGGCUGAUGUGUAUACUUCAGGGUACUCAGAUACCAAAUGGGUGUUCUGGUGGCUGCAGCAUCCCCACUUUGAUACUGGUCGGCAAUCAUUAUUGCAUGACAUGAAAAAUAAAGUUCAGUUAUCAUCAGCUCAGGCAGCAGUGGCAAAUAAGCCAAUCAAUGGAGGUAGCGGCGGUAACGGCUCGCCAUCUGAGAGCACCUAUACGAGCAGUUAGGUUCAUGACAAUGUCAGUAGCUUUAUUCAGGGAAUGGAACCCUCAACCCUCAACUCUACUAUAAAGCUCUUCUACCCUCCAGCGUGUCCUGCCGUGCAUCAGCCUGUCGUCCCUCCAUUGCUUUCUCCUUCCCUCACCCACAUCUGUUCUCUUUUUCUAAUGAAGAGGAAAGUGAUGGUCCCACCAAGGCUAAUUAGGAGGACUGAGAUGCAGAGCGCUGAUAGACUGGUGAUAGAGUCAGGGGGGAAGCGCCAACACCGACCGCUUAGAGCUCCCACCACCAGAACUGGAGCAUCAGAGGAGGGAAUGGGGAAAAGGGAUGCCGAGAGAGGAGAUAAAAACGAGUGGAGGAGGAGUUGUUGGGGGGGGGCAUAUAUAGUGUAAUUGAGACUGUAAUGGGUUUUGUCAGGGUCAAGUUAAAACGGCUUCGGUGAGAGAGGAAGAGAGGGAUGAGACGAUGGGAGAGGAGAGACGGGGCCAAUUGGAGUCAGGAUCCCGGUGAGGAGAGGCCCUCGUCCAUGCCAACCUCACCUGAUUGCCAAUUUGUGCCCGUCUACAGACAUCAAACGCCAAUUCUAGCCACACGCAGACACACAGACGCCACUGAUUGGAGAGUGCUAACCAGCUAAAAACACCCAUACACAUUCAAUCACACACAUGCGCGAACUCACGCUGACAACCCACCUACGCUGGCUGAUUGGACACAUCGAGCCCCUUAACAAGGUGUCCACGGUGCAGACCUAAGCCGUGUGAUUGGAAGAUAAAACUGCUGCCGUUAAAUAUCUAAUUCUCCCCCGUGUCUAGAUGAAAAUAAGGUGCAGCGCUGAUUAGAUUGCUGCCUGCUGUGCCAACCUCGGGUCUGCGCCAUGUUCAUUACCAGCCCUCACCCCCAACCCGACCAAUCCUAUCUCGAUUUGUGUUCUCCUGCCAACCCCAAAUACUCUAUUUGUGAUGGAAAAGCAAUUCUGACACCCUCGAGAGUUGAGGUCGAUGAGGAGUGAUGAAAUUGAGUCGAGUAAAAUGUAUUUAUAAAUCACUGUUAAAGCUGCACCUGGCAAUUUAACAUGCUGACAGCCCCGAAUGGCAGCGAGACAUAACUGAUUGAAAUUUAGGAUCACAGUACCUAGAAAUUCUGUUAAAGCGGAGUCAGUAAAUGUCCCGCUCUUGGUCCGGAGAGGGUGGAGGUGAUGAAGAGGUUCAGCCAUCAUCCUGGGGACAAAGUUCUCACUCGGUGCUGUUUAGGACUUUGGCUUUUUUUCUGUUUGGUAGAAAGUGUGGCCUGGGGGAAGGUUACACUCUACUUCAGUGGAUAUUUUACAGGCUGAAUCAAUGUAUUCAAUUUUGACUGGCCAAUUAAUUAAUAAACUAUUAAUUCCUGGCUGUGCAGAGAAAACAAAAUUUGAUUAAUUGAAUUUUUUCAGAUAAACUUAACUAACUUAAGUGUUCCUUCAUGGGCCUAGAAUAUUGUCCUACUUCUUGGGCUAAAUAAACCAUUUAAAAUCCCAUUGGAUUAUCUGAAAUCUGCAUCGUCCCAACGCUGAAAACAUGCCUGUUUUUCUUUAUAGCUCAUUAAAAGUUGACAUUUUGGAGAUACAUGGUUUUCAUAGAUCAGAGACCUUCAUGUUGGGAAAUAAAAUGUACAGACAAUAUAGCUGAACAGAAUAAAGGGGCACUUCCAUAAAGUUGGGAAAAGAAUGGUCAAAAUCGGCCAAGAUUUAGUCUCUAGUAUGAGUCAAGCUCCAGAAACACUAGAUCCUACAUUAGACCCUGCCUGCCUCCGAACUGCCUACUUCUUUCGAAAGAAAAAAGUCUUGAAAAGUCUUAAAGUCCAAAUAAUUCAAAACCUUUUGUGACUUUAUUUUUGGUGUCGGGUUGAGGGUGUCCUGGGACUCGUGACCUCAGUAUUUCUAAAAUCCUAAAAUGCUCCACUGCUGAAACACCAUGAUUAGGUCUAAUAAUUAUAUUUUGCAAGAACAAAUACAGCAUCAAAGCACCAAAAAGGAACUCUUCUGAUUUAAAUCCCUCACGUCUCUCCCUGGCCUUCACCGCUGACUGGAAAACAAAAAAAUGUGUAAAAACAAGGCAUUCCACCAGCUCAGAUGGCUCGGGGUGACAGUAGGCGCAAUUUUGUGGAACAUUUGCAAUUAACAGUUGGGAUCUAAGAUUUGUGUUUAAUUUUUCAGUGCACCACUUACUGCAUCUGUACAUACUCACCAGGAACAUUACUGGGACACUUUGUGGAAAGUCACCUGGUUCGCUGCCACAGUUUGGGUUUCAGAGCAGUUUUGCUUAACAGUCUUUAAGUGUCACAAUUCAAUAGGGGUAAUGAGAACAUUUUUUUUAAACCAGCAGCAGAGUCAGCAGCAAUUCAUGUCCAGUUCCAAUGCUGAAAACCUCCUGGAGUCUCCAGUUUUAGUGGGCUGAAGGUUAAAGGAGGUGCACAUCGAGAUGGACACUAUAUUUUGCUCAUCACCUUUAACACAAUCCUCCAUAACUCUUAACAACUUCUACAACUGCUCCAGGCUACCUGAGCUCACACACACCACUUUCAGCCACUGUAAGGCUAUUUCAUAUUUACCGUCAGAAAUGUAUAUUGAGCUGAACAGAGAAAAACGUUUCUAAUUGUCGGGGGCAUUAACUCUGAUGCCAAAUCACCAUCAUCAAUGGGAGAUAAAUCAAUUUCUCUCCCCUUUUUUUCUUCAGCCCUUUCUCUUCAUCCUGCCCCACCUCCUGUUCUCUCUCACACUCUUUAUCAUCCACACUCACACUCACACUCACAGUUCGACUGGAGCGGGUCGAUACCGGAGCGAGUAUUGAGCAGUGGCUGUGGUCUAAAUGAGAGUUUGAUUUCUCGAGGGGUGUUAGUCCCUGUAACCAUGGUGUUGAGUCGCCAUCAGAGACCUCUUCGCCAAAUGCUCAUUGAUGAAGUGCGUGUGUGUGUUUGCGCCGCGAGUGCUUCGCUUUAAACACCUUUUGAUUUAGUUGUGCUCAGGAACAAUACUUUUCAUUAGAGGCUGAUAGCAUUCAUUAAGAAAUUUCAGCAGGGCCACUAAUGAGCUGAACUGCUCUUGAACACUUCAUUCUCCUUGAAAAACAGUGAAGCGCGGCAUCACACAAACACACACAUAGAAAGACAACACUUGUCUUGUCUUGACACACUUUGUGUCAUGUGAGCCUAUUCCUAACAUUUACUAAGCCACUGAUAUUGUCUAAACCAACAAAAAACCUGUUCCUUCGAUCCGAUACGUGACCAAAGCCGUUGAGCACAUAGCAAACCACUCUGCGCUUUCCGGAAUCCGUCCAUUAAUGCUGCUUCGCUCUGAGCGUCCACACUUUGAGUGUGUUUGACGGGAUUUGUGUUUGUUGUUUGCUGCAUCUUGCAAAUUCUUUCACCCCUGUUAGCCUUCAGUGCUCGCUGCCACCCAACAACACAACAGCCUGUUUGUCGGCAUCUGAGUGUGUGUAAUGCUAUCUCCGUUUUCUAUGGAGGUUUUAUAUUAUUCAUAUCUCUGGGCCUUUGCGGCUGGGAACAAGCGAGGCAGAGCUGGAGAGAGAAAAAACGGGGAAGGAGGAGGGACCUUUGACAGAGUAGCAUUGACGAACAGCUCGACAUAGUGAGAUACAUAAACAUGAGGUCAGAGAGUAUCGCAGUGGGAGACGGAGAAGGAAGAAGGAAAAAGGGCAAGAGAAAGAAAGUGUGUGAGAGUGAGAGCAGGGGAGAGACAGAUAUACUGCAUCAGAAAGGUUGUCUCUCGCUGACAAGCUCUCACUCUGUUCAGGAAACCCACCAAUCAAUGCUUUGGCACGGCGGGGCACACACACACACGCAUCAACCUGUGAGGUAGCGUGUGUGUGCGUGUGUGUGUGAUGGAGGAGAGUGUGUGUUUGAAAUGCAGAGCACGUCAAGAGUCCUAGGGAGCUCCUUUUGCAGCAAAGCCUCAUUAAAGAGACACUUGCCUUAAAGCAAGGAUAUACUGCCAGACCACACACACACACACACACACACACACACUCGACACCAGCAGCAGAGAUUCACUCAGGCUAACAGAAAGUGAUGCACACGCAGAAGUGGCUUCGGACAAAUUGAAUAGAAAUCUCUGUGAAGAAAUAACGUGGAGCAAAUGGAGGAAUAAAUGCGGUGUAGUAAAUGUCCUCCACUCCAGCCCUUUUUUCCAUUUCCUCUCCUUGUUCUCCAUAUGAAUAAAGUUUAAUUUAUCCACAGCUGCCCCUCCCCCCAUCUCACACUAAUAUUAUAUUCAUGUAUAUUUGAUUGUGUCAACUCUGUGGAGAUUGGCUAUGCUGUAUCUUGUGUGCCUUUUAAAAAUGCAUCUAUGAAUAAAUAAUGUCUGUAUCUGCUGAUUGAAAAAGCCAUAUUGCCAGAAAGCCAUGAUGAAAUGAUAAUGUAAUAUCUGUCCCUGUGUUGAAUAAAGCAAAGCACCCUUCAUCCUUUCCCCUUUUUUAAUUCUCUCAGUAAAUGAAACCCAAAGCUUUGCAACUGCACCGUGCACUGCCUGAUGCCAUUCUCUCGUAUGGUUUGCACUGCUGCUCUGAGUGUGUUUUAAUAAAGAGAAAGCCUCUUUCUAUA